UAUACGCAACGUAUUAACCCGAAGACAGCAGGUGGUGCCGUAAGGUACCGUAAGACAGAACGCCUGCCGAGGAAAGAUACAAACUAUUUUGUUUGUUCAACCCCGUGUCUUUUGGCAUGGGGUUUUCCUUUUAGCAAG
rfam:Lachnospiraceae bacterium JC7 contig00003, whole genome shotgun sequence.